rnacentral:rRNA from 1 species
AUUGAACGCUGGCGGCAUGCCUUACACAUGCAAGUCGAACGGUAACGCGGGGCAACCUGGCGACGAGUGGCGAACGGGUGAGUAAUGCAUCGGAACGUGCCCAGUAGUGGGGGAUAGCCCGGCGAAAGCCGGAUUAAUACCGCAUACGACCUACGGGUGAAAGCGGGGGACUCGCAAGAGCCUCGCGCUAUUGGAGCGGCCGAUGUCAGAUUAGGUAGUUGGUGGGGUAAAAGCCUACCAAGCCGACGAUCUGUAGCUGGUCUGAGAGGACGACCAGCCACACUGGGACUGAGACACGGCCCAGACUCCUACGGGAGGCAGCAGUGGGGAAUUUUGGACAAUGGAGGCAACCCUGAUCCAGCCAUUCCGCGUGAGUGAAGAAGGCCU